AAGGAACGUUGAAGACGACGACGUUGAUAGGUCGGGUGUGUAAGCGCAGCGAUGCGUUGAGCUAACCGAUACUAAUGAACCGUGAGGCUUAACCUUACAACGCCGAAG
rnacentral:rRNA from 1 species